GAUGAACGCUGGCGGCGUGCCUAAUACAUGCAAGUCGAGCGAACAGACGAGGAGCUUGCUCCUCUGACGUUAGCGGCGGACGGGUGAGUAACACGUGGAUAACCUACCUAUAAGACUGGGAUAACUUCGGGAAACCGGAGCUAAUACCGGAUAAUAUAUUGAACCGCAUGGUUCAAUAGUGAAAGACGGUUUUGCUGUCACUUAUAGAUGGAUCCGCGCCGCAUUAGCUAGUUGGUAAGGUAACGGCUUACCAAGGCGACGAUGCGUAGCCGAACUGAGAGGGGGGUCGGCCACACUGGAACUGAGACACGGAACAGACGCCUACGGGAGGCAGCAGUAGGGAAUCUUCCGCAAUGGGCGAAAGCCUGACGGAGCAACGCCGAGUGAGUGAUGAAGGUCUUCGGAUCGUAAAACUCUGUUAUUAGGGAAGAACAAAUGUGUAAGUAAGUAUGCACGUCUUGACGGUAACUAAUCAGAAAGCCACGGCUAACUACGUG
rnacentral:rRNA from 1 species